rnacentral:sRNA from 1 species
CUGACACGCCUGGACAUUGGAGUCCUCUAUUUACAGAACAGAUACAGCACAGUCAAUGGCAAUGCAAGCUACCACACACUGCCACUCCACUGGGCCUCAACCCAAGCUGGAGGAGCCAGCUUGAAAGGGCAAGUAGCUCUGAGUCUCUGUGUCUAUUCAGUCCUUGUCUUUU